rnacentral:rRNA from 1 species
CUGCGAAUGGCUCAUUAUAUCAGUUAUAGUUUAUUUGGAAUAGUUUCUAUAUGGAUAACCGUAGUAAUUCUAGGGCUAAUACAUGUGUUUUCUUUGAUGGGCAACCAUUAAAGAAGUACUUAUUAGACAUAAAACCAAUUUAAUGUUGUUGUGAGUAAUAAUAAUUGUUGACUUUAUCGCAUGCUUGUUAGUAGCGAUGUUCCUUUCAAGUUUCUGCCCUAUCAGCUUUCGAUGGUAGUGUAUUGGACUACCAUG